rnacentral:rRNA from 1 species
GGCGGGUGUGUUCCGCCUUAGUAACGGCGAGUGAAGCGGCAAAAGCUCAAAUUUGAAAUCGGCCACCAGGUCGAGUUGUAAUUUGUAGAUUGUAUCUUGAGAGCGGAUUAAAGUCUGUUGGAACACAGCGCCUUAGAGGGUGACAGCCCCGUAAAAUCUAUUCUCAUUGUAAGAUACUUUCGAAGAGUCGAGUUGUUUGGGAAUGCAGCUCUAAGUGGGAGGUAAAUUCCUUCUAAAGCUAAAUAUUGACGAGAGACCGAUAGCGAACAAGUACUGUGAAGGAAAGAUGAAAAGCACUUUGAAAAGAGAGUGAAAAAGUACGUGAAAUUGUUAAAAGGGAAGGGUAUUGAAUCAGACUUGGUGCUGUUGUUCAACUGUGUUUCGGCAUAGUGUACUCAGCAGUACUAGGCCAAGGUGGGGUGUUUGGGAGUGAAAAAGAAGUUGGAAGGUAACUCUUCGGAGUGUUAUAGCCUACUUUCAUAGCUCCUCAGGCGCCUCAGGACUGCGCUUCGGCAAGGACCUUGGCAUAAUGAUUCUAUACCGCCCGUCUUGAAACACGGGACCAAA